GCCACGAUAUAUGUGCUUUUCGUGUUUUCUUCUAUUAGGGACUCGUUUGCUUGAAAGUGAAUUCUUCACAAGCUGUAUUCGGCAGAUGAGAAAUGGAAACAAGAGCUCGUCUGUUUUUUUUCUAAUGACGUGGUACACGAAGUGGAGUACAAAGCCGCUUCAUCUUCCAUUUUAGUGUUGGGUACACGCCAUGACUGAGCCGGCUCAGAGAUAACACCACAGGCUAAAAUCAAAGACCAGAAAAAAAAUGCAUACAGAAUUUUUUAUUAUACAAAUAAAAUAAAAUGUUGAUAGA